GUUAUGGGGGGGUCGCCAACGACAUGUUCGAAUAUAUAUCUCAGAAAGUAUGUAGUUGUGCCCCUGCUGAUGAGUAUAAUGUUGCUGUUUCUGCUAUUGACAGUGCUGGAGGGCUGUGUUGAUCUGAGACUGUAGUUGUUAAACAGACCAUAGGAGAGCAAGUAGCUGGUUAUGAAGUUAUGAAAUAAGCAAAUUUGCUUCUAUUUUACUAAAUAAGCCCUACUACUUCCAUAGCAACUUGUCUGCAGACUGCUUUAAAGAUCAAAAAAGCUCAAAGGGGUUAACUCUAUAUAAUUUUUUGAUGUUAGCUCCUCUGAGAUCUAGAAUUGUAAGACAGUGAUGUCAAGGCAAAGAAAACACAGUAGCUGCUGGUAGGGGCCAUUCAGGGGCCCCUAGAAAUGGUUGAAUUGUAACACAGAUCAUAGAUCUAAAGCUGUAGCAGUCAUCUAUUGAGAAUGAUAAUGUUAUUACAUUUUAUUUAAUGUAUUCAGCAGAGAAAAAAUGGUACAUUUAGGAUUUAAUUAGGAAGUUUACUUUAUAAAAGUACAAAAAACCACGUUGAUAGUUUGAUUGUUGUGUUGCCAUGGCUACAAUGUAACGUUUGUUUUUGAGCUGGGUUUGUUCACAAAUACAUAAGAGCAAAUAAUAACCAAUAAUCAGUGAUUGAUUUUAAACUUGGCCAAUUAAACUAGGCUUCCCAUCACAGACUUCACUAAAUCUAUAUUUAUUUAAACACUGUUAGUGAUGCUGAAGUAGGAGCGGCUUGGGGAGCCUAAAUCAUGAUUCUGUUUAAGGCCCCAUAAUACCUUUGUCGUAUUACAAAGAGUGUGCUGAGUCAAACUGUAUCAUCAUGAUUAGUUUAUUCAGGGUCACCAAACUUCCAGCAUGGGCAUCAACAUUAGCAAUCAGCGUCACCUGGACUACCUGAGCUUGGCGCUCUUUUAUGAUGUCAUCACGGGUGGCCAUUUGUAGUUUUUAACCAUGCAUAACAUUAACACCACAUCUCCCUUCUCUAGAAUCAAUGGGUGGAUUAUCAUUGAUUCAACAGACCUUACUGGAUUAUUUUAUAAUAAUCCUCUAAGAAACGGACCUUCUAUAGCUGGAAGGACUGUUUCUACCUAGAGCUAGAAAAAACAAUAUAAAUAGAAAUACAUAUUUAAUCAUUCUUAUACUUUAGCAUAAUAUUUACACACAUUAUUUCAUUUUCUUUAAGUAUAAAUUCAGUUUAUCACAAUCCAUCUCCCAAACCUGGUUCUAGGAGUAGGUGAAAGUUCAGGAAGGCUCUGCUGUGUAGGUUUUUCGGAACUCUGUUGAGAUUGUUCUGGAGCAACAUCACCUUCCAGUACUUCUGUCUGGCUCUGUCAAAGACUCCAUGGCAACCAAAUGAUGAUGAUUUUGUCUAAUUGUUCCAUGGGGUCCUUCCACAAGGUAUGAGCGUGAAGUAGAAUGAGUUUUAAUCACUGCUUCACUUGUGCCUUGGUCUUUAAUCCACACACCUUGUCCUGGAGUAAGUUUGCUGAGAACUGUUGCUCUGUGGUGUGAAUCAUAUCUCUGCAUCUUUUAUCCUUCUCUCCUUUUCUUUUUGAGUAACCAUCUUCCUGUUCGGAAGAACUGGCCUCAACAAAGAUAGAAGUGUUGGCACCGUCGUGCGAAGUCUUCUUCCCAUAAGAAGCUCUGCUGGGCUGUAUAAAUUCCAAAGUGGUGUUGCUCUGUAGGCGAGUAAGGCAAGAUAUGGAUCAGCUGCUUUCUUCAACAAGUUCUUUAUUGUUUUAACAGCAUGUUCAGCUUUCCCGUUACGUUGUGGAUAUCUUGGGCUACUUGUAAUAUGGCGAAAUCCAUAUAACUUUGCAAAAGCAGCACAGGAAAACUGAGGACUGUUAUCUGUGAUCAUUACUUCUGGAAUGCCGUGACGUGCAAACCCAGAUUUCAGGUGUGGCAUUUUAGAACCAGUUCUUUUAGCUGCUGGCUCAGUCCAGGCCACCACACUGACUGCUGCGCUCGUUCUCGACAUUUCACCACUCCCUGAUGUCCUUCAUGUAAUCUCAUGAGCACAUUGUUUCUCAUAGUUGAAGGAAUAACGAUUCUUUCUCCCUUUAACAAAAGACCAUCCUUAAGAAAUGCCUUUUCAGCCCAAUACAGUCUGAGUGCUGGUUCAUUGUUACAGUGUGUAGGCCAUCCUUCCCUCACACAUCUGCAUCACACAUGCACAUAUGCUGUCCCUUUUCAGCUCCUCUCUCAGCUCUUCAAGGUAGCUAUGUGUGAGAUACACUGAAUUUAUCAGUUUAUUUAUUUAUUUUACUGUUCAUAUUUAUUAUAGUUUUAUUAUAAUAAGUUAAUUCCUUCAGAACUUUAUUUUGUCUGUCUUGUGCCGUGAUCGUCUGUACUAAUAUUUCCUAUACGUCAUUGAAUGUGUCUGUUUUACGUGUGUUCCUGGAACGUGCCGUUUUGCGAGGCAGUGUUCUGUUUUUCGUCUGCUGAGGAGCGUUAGGCACCAGGUGUGACAGACUGAGUUUUCUUGUGUUAAGGUAAAUAAAACCCUUUUAAUUCACAAAGACAA